ACUUUGUGAGCCUCAUGCUCUGCCAGGGAGGAGGGAAAGCCGAGAGGAAGCAGAGACAGGACACCUGACCCAAACUGACCAAAGAGGUAUUCCAUACCACAGCACGUUAUGCCCAGUAUAUAAACUGGAGGCAGUUACCUGGAAGGGUGAGAUCACUGCUCAGGUCUGGCUGGGUACCGGUCAGCAGUUGUAUUCUCUCCCCUUGUUGUUUCCCUUAUCAUUAUUAUUAUUGGUGGUAGCAGUAGUGGUUUGUGUUAUACCUUAGUUACUGGACUGUUCUUAUCUCAACCCGUGGGAGUUGCGUUCUUUUGAUUCUUCUCCUCAUCCCUCCGGGAGC